UGUGCCUCCCACUCGAAGGUGAAGGGUCCUGCUCAGGUGAAGGCUGCGCUCUGCUAUUCAGACCAUGUCAGAGAACACCGGGCGCUUCCACGCCUCACUGCUGUGAAGGUUGAUGAACUUGUGUGGUAUCCCUCGACAUUCCAUAUGACCUUCGGGACGGCUUUUCUAUUUCUGAAAAAAAAGAAAAGAAAAAGAAAAAGUCACCGGGACUCGGGUGGGACAGCAGGACCUCAGGGGGCAACUGAGGAAAGAGCCUGGGAGUGAGAUUAAAACCACGGAUCUGAGAUCGAAAUCCAUGCCGGGCGCGCGUGAGUGAACCUAACUUAGC
rnacentral:lncRNA from 1 species